rnacentral:rRNA from 1 species
UACGAAGGGGGCUAGCGUUGCUCGGAAUCACUGGGCGUAAAGGGUGCGUAGGCGGGGCUUUAAGUCAGGGGUGAAAUCCUGGAGCUCAACUCCAGAACUGCCUUUGAUACUGAAGAUCUUGAGUUCGGGAGAGGUGAGUGGAACUGCGAGUGUAGAGGUGAAAUUCGUAGAUAUUCGCAAGAACACCAGUGGCGAAGGCGGCUCACUGGCCCGAUACUGACGCUGAGGCACGAAAGCGUGGUGAGCAAACAGG